rnacentral:lncRNA from 1 species
CCUGUGCAUACCCCAAAAUCAUAGCACUCCAUGUUACAACAUUCAAUUAGUCAAAUCCUCCAUUAAUUGACGAAUCUGAGAAUACCCAAAGUCCAAAGUCUUUCAAGAAAUCUAUGGUGUGAUUGUUUACACCAUAAAUUUAUGAGAAUACAACAUCUUUCAUCUCCAAUCUAUGGUGUGACUUUCAAUUCAUCAAAUCGUCCAAUUUGAG